GUGAAUUUACCCCCGGUGGACUGCGUUUGAACAUCCCAGUGCCCGUGAUAAGGGAAUAAAUGCACCCCUUUGUCCUCAAGGGAAUGAACUGUUUUUGCAUGUCCGUUUGUCCGUCCGUUACAGGGUCAAAGGCCGCGGAUUCCAAUUCGAUGGCUGGGUCGAGACUCCUCUACAGAACAUCAUGUGAAAAUGCAUUGUAAAAAUCAAAUUCUAUGUGGUUAAAUACAAAAAUAUCCCAAUAUUUGGAGGGGAGGGUGUUUUAUUAUAAAUUGAUAAUUUAAUUUUUUUUAAUGUGCAUGUAGCAAUAUAAAGACAGUAAUAUCUUAGACAAUCUACAAGAUUUCUAACGUAGGUUCCUCCUGCUUAUCCAAAAUAUAAAUGAUUCAGUAAAAAUAGUUAAGUUUUGUUUGUCGUGUUUCUGAUGGUUCAGAGGAAACUCUGAUUAAAAGAUAAACUAAUUAAAGGAUAAGAAUGAUUAAGAAGCUAUUGUUAUUUGUUGUUUAGUUAAUAACUAUAAAUUUUGUUUUUGUUUAUAUCUGUUUAUAUAAUGGAAUGCGUUAAUUUUUUUCUUGAAAUAUUGUUUGUUUCGGUGUUAUUUUAUUUGUUGUUUUUUUUUAUUAAUGUUAAUUUUGCGAUGGUUGGGUGGGGGAAUGAAUGUUUCCCCUGUUCCUUUAAAGACGUAUCAGCAAUUACAGUUAACUUCCACAGUAUUUUUGAAUCACAGAAUUCUGAAAGUUUAUUUAAAGUUUACGUAAUAUUGGUUUCUGUGUGUUUAUUUUUCGUUGGGUUUUUUUUUUCAUAUGUUGUGUAUGAGUCUUGAUUUGAUAAAACUUGGAUAUUUAGUUAAACAAUGGAAAUACUGAUAUUGUAUCUACUUACAUCCUAGACGCAAUCUUUAAAACUGCACUCAUGGACGUACAUUUUAAUUUUAAAAACGCAAUUGUCUGUAAGGCUAUAUUGUUAUAAUUAUAGAUAUUGUUUUAAAUAAAAGUAUGCAAGAAUAUUCUUAUCUAGUAAAUAGAUGUUGAUUAUUGUAUGAUGGAUUGAUGUUAAAGAGAAAUUAUGCCAUGAU
rnacentral:misc_RNA from 1 species